rnacentral:snoRNA from 1 species
GAAGUACGGAAUCAAUCCGCAGUUUCAUGGCUGCUCUCAGAUGGGGCCAGGAUUUGGUAGCUGGUACUGAGAGAAAACCCAGGAUUGCUUCCUUGCCCUGAGGCUGUGCCAGUGGUAGCUGCCACUCAGUGGGGGGGAG